rnacentral:rRNA from 1 species
UACGAAGGAUCCAAGCGUUAUCCGGAUUCAUUGGGUUUAAAGGGUGCGUAGGCGGUUUUGUAAGUCAGUGGUGAAAUCUCUCAGCUUAACUGAGAAACUGCCAUUGAUACUGCAGAACUAGAGUACAGAUGACGUUGGCGGAAUGUGUCAUGUAGCGGUGAAAUGCAUAGAUAUGACACAGAACACCGAUUGCGAAGGCAGCUGACGAAACUGCAACUGACGCUGAUGCACGAAAGUGCGGGGAUCAAAC